UCAUACUCCGGGACAACGACGACGACGACGACGACGACGACAUGGCGAACCGAACGACCGACCACCGGACGUCCAUUGAAUAGUGUGUUAAUGUUAAUAUAUUUAUGAAACUUUGAAGUCUUAGAGAAAAAUGAAGAACAUAAUAGAAAGAGUUCAGUGGAAAUCUAAGCUUUUUGAUACAAUAAUCUUAGUCCAAGCUACAAGGACCCAAGUUAAAUAUUGAUACAGACAUACAGCCGGUUGGUUCUCAGGAGUAUUGAGUAUGAACAAUGAAUACACUUCAAAUUUAACUACAGAGAUGCAUUACUCAAAAUGGAUGAAGAUGAAAUGAUGAACUGAUUACACUUACUUUCAACAUCAGUGAAGAAUCAAAUUUAGGUUUAAUAUAGUUCAGCAAAAAUCAAAAAUUCAUUUGGUUUAUUUUGAUUUCAUAAUUUUUAGUUAUGUUUUUAUAAUAACUCCUGAUUUGUAUAACCUAACAGAAUCAAACUAAAAUUAUUCUUAGGUAUAUUUAAACAUAAGACAAAUGUUCAUUAAUGUGUUUUUCAAAAUAACUAUCACGUUCAUAUAUGUAUAAAAUUCAGCCUUGAAAACAUAAAAAUUACAGAUUAUAAGAUACUAAUUUUUUGUGUUAGUAAUAAUAAAAAAAAUUAAACCUCUACGACCAUUUAAA